AACGGGUGACUGGUUAGACAA
rnacentral:miRNA from 1 species